rnacentral:rRNA from 1 species
CCCUUAGAUAUCUUGGAAUGCACGCGGGAUACAAUAAUUAAGAUAAUAAGUUUAUUUUAAUUAGCUCGUAUCACUUGAUAUAUUUGCUUUUAAAACCUUUUCCGAAAGGAAUGGGAAAUCUCUAAAUCUUAAUUUUGACAAGGAUUGUCUCUUGUAACAGAGGCAUGAAAGAGGAAUACCUAGUAGGCGUGAGUCAACACCUCGCACCGAUUAAGUCCCUGCUUUUUGUACACACCGCCCGUCGCAUCAAGGAACAUGAUUGAAGUCAUGAAGCUUACGGAUAGAAUGGAUUUCGGUCUGUCUAAAAGUAAACUGAAUGGUUUUAAUCUUACCAUGAUGAAGUCGUAACA